GUAUAGAACCUACCUUAUAUUGGGGGAUAGCCCAGAGAAAUUUGGAUUAAUACCCCAUAGUAUGCUGAAGUGGCAUCCUUUAGUAUUAAAGAUUUAUCGAUAUAAGAUGGCUAUGCGUUCUAUUAGCUAGUUGGUAUGGUAACGGCAUACCAAGGCUACGAUAGAUAGGGGUCCUGAGAGGGAGAUCCCCCACACUGGUACUGAGACACGGACCAGACUCCUACGGGAGGCAGCAGUGAGGAAUAUUGGACAAUGGAGGCAACUUUGAUCCAGCCAUGCCGCGUGCAGGAAGACUGCCCUAUGGGUUGUAAACUGCUUUUAUAGAGGAAGAAACCCCCCGACGAGUCGGGUCCGACGGUACUCUACGAAUAAGGAUCGGCUAACUCCGUGCCAGCAGCCGCGGUAAUACGGAGGAUCCAAGCGUUAUCCGGAAUCAUUGGGUUUAAAGGGUCCGUAGCGGAUUUGUAAGUCAGUGGUGAAAGUUUGCGGCUCAACCGUAAAAUUGCCAUUGAUACUGCAAGUCUUGGAUCAUUGUGAAGUGGUUAGAAUAUGUAGUGUAGCGGUGAAAUGCAUAGAUAUUACAUAGAAUACCGAUUGCGAAGCAGAUCACUAACAAUGUAUUGACGCUAAGGGACGAAAGCGUGGGUAGCGAACAGGAUUAGAUACCCUGGUAGUCCACGCCGUAAACGAUGGUCACUAGCUGUUUGGUUUUCGGACUGAGUGGCUAAGCGAAAGUGAUAAGUGACCCACCUGGGGAGUACGUUCGCAAGAAUGAAACUCAAAGGAAUUGACGGGGGCCCGCACAAGCGUGGAGCAUGUGGUUUAAUUCGAUGAUACGCGAGGAACCUUACCAGGGCUUAAAUGUAGUCUGACAGCUUUAGAGAUAGAGUUUUCUUCGGACAGAUUACAAGGU
rnacentral:rRNA from 1 species